AUGGAUUCUGGGAACGUAAACGGCCGUGACCGCGACCGCGUUCAACGCAUAGUCCAAACUGGACCGCCGUGCUGAGUCCGACCGCUCUCCGACCGGGCUGCAUCCGUUAUUACUGUUGCGUGAAUUGGAGGAACUACUGACACCACACCGGGAUCUGGACUGAGACAACGCGGUUCUGUGAGGCGGGCUGUCAUGCGUGCAGGGAGAGAGGAAACGCCGUCCAGCCGUUUUUCCUCGCUGUGCUACUGAAACUGACAAGGGCUGCCAGUCAUCUUGGGAGAUGAUGCUUCUGCCUUCUUCAAAACAUGCUCUGAUGCAACUGACCAGGACUCAUACAUUCAAACUCCAGUGGGACUCCUUUGUAUUGAUGAAGAAAGCCCACAGUUGAACCCAUCCAAAGUGGGAAUCAUCUUGGAAGGAAGUCUUGUGAUGGAUGACCUGGCCAGCCUUCCUCAGGCCUUCUGCGUCAUUUUUGGGCUGAUUUACUCCCUGCACCUGGACUAUCCCAAGUACAUGAAAAAUACUUUCUCCUUUGUCCAGCAGGUGAUGUUCAGCCUGGGUAAAACUCAGUUGGCACCCAAAAUUCAGUCUUUGAAAAACCAGCUCUCAGUGUAAAGUCGGUUCCUGACUGGUGCAGAUAUCAGGUGCUUGGUUGAAAUGUUGCACUUUUGACAUGUUGCUGCUUAUGUUUAUGUUUGCAUGUUAUAGAGGGGCACUGAUACUGUGAUUUGAUUACAUUCAAAAAGAUGUUAGUUGUUGUUUUCAGACUUGUAAGAAAAUACUUGUGAUGUCUCAGAAGAAGAUUGAAUAUUCACCCACUUCUAGCAUUAAGAAGUGAGCAGUGGCAGUAUUGUGAACUUGAAUAUGGUUAAGAAUUUUUCUGCUACAGUUUGAAGCUUAUUGUUCAGACUUUUUUGCACACUUUUUCGACAAAGAAUUUUGAUGUCAUUUGUUGUCAUGUUAGAACAUAUUCAAGCAUCCAAAGCUAAAACAGCUGACAAGGAUAGUUUCUAGGCCUUUAAAUGUGUUUUAAUGUUUUAUGCAGAAUAUCUUUUCAGGAGCUAAGGAUUCAAGGCUCAUCUGUUAAAAACAUGGGGCUCCAUGCUGUAGCACAGUGCAAUGCUCAGAGUUUUAAGUUAA